CGUAUAUUAAAGUUGUUGCAGUUAAAAAGCUCGUAGUUGGAUUUGUGGUUCGUCCCGCCGGCUGGGUCUUUGACUUUUGCUGUGCUGGUCGUCCAUCCUUGGGUGGAAUCUGUGUGGCAUUAGGUUGUCGCGCAGGGGAUGCCCAUCGUUUACUGUGAAAAAAUUAGAGUGUUCAAAGCAGGCUUAUGCCGUUGAAUAUAUUAGCAUGGAAUAAUGAUAUAGGACCUUGGUACUAUUUUGUUGGUUUGCGCACUGAGGUAAUGAUUAAUAGGGACAGUUGGGGG
rnacentral:rRNA from 1 species